rnacentral:rRNA from 1 species
GAUGAACGCUGGCGGCGUGCCUAAUACAUGCAAGUCGAGCGAACGGACGAGAAGCUUGCUUUUCUGAUGUUAGCAGCGGACGGGUGAGUAACACGUGGAUAACCUACCUAUAAGACUGGGAUAACUUCGGGAAACCGGAGCUAAUACCGGAUAAUAUUUUGAACCGCAUGGUUCAAAAGUGAAAGACGGUCUUGCUGUCACUUACAGAUGGAUCCGCGCUGCAUUAGCUAGUUGGUAAGGUAACGGCUUACCAAGGCAACGAUGCAUAGCCGACCUGAGAGGGUGAUCGGCCACACUGGAACUGAGACACGGUCCAGACUCCUACGGGAGGCAGCAGUAGGGAAUCUUCCGCAAUGGGCGAAAGCCUGACGGAGCAACGCCGCGUGAGUGAUGAAGGUCUUCGGAUCGUAAAACUCUGUUAUUAGGGAAGAACAUAUGUGUAAGUAACUGUGCACAUCUUGACGGUACCUAAUCAGAAAGCCACGGCUAACUACGUG